rnacentral:rRNA from 1 species
ACUUAAAUUGAAGAGUUUGAUCAUGGCUCAGAUUGAACGCUGGCGGCAGGCCUAACACAUGCAAGUCGAGCGGUAGCACAGAGAGCUUGCUCUCGGGUGACGAGCGGCGGACGGGUGAGUAAUGUCUGGGAAACUGCCUGAUGGAGGGGGAUAACUACUGGAAACGGUAGCUAAUACCGCAUAACGUCGCAAGACCAAAGUGGGGGACCUUCGGGCCUCAUGCCAUCAGAUGUGCCCAGAUGGGAUUAGCUAGUAGGUGGGGUAACGGCUCACCUAGGCGACGAUCCCUAGCUGGUCUGAGAGGAUGACCAGCCACACUGGAACUGAGACACGGUCCAGACUCCUACGGGAGGCAGCAGUGGGGAAUAUUGCACAAUGGGCGCAAGCCUGAUGCAGCCAUGCCGCGUGUGUGAAGAAGGCCUUCGGGUUGUAAAGCACUUUCAGCGGGGAGGAAGGCGAUAAGGUUAAUAACCUUGUCGAUUGACGUUACCCGCAGAAGAAGCACCGGCUAACUCCGUGCCAGCAGCCGCGGUAAUACGGAGGGUGCAAGCGUUAAUCGGAAUUACUGGGCGUAAAGCGCACGCAGGCGGUCUGUCAAGUCGGAUGUGAAAUCCCCGGGCUUAACCUGGGAACUGCAUUCGAAACUGGCAGGCUAGAGUCUUGUAGAGGGGGGUAGAAUUCCAGGUGUAGCGGUGAAAUGCGUAGAGAUCUGGAGGAAUACCGGUGGCGAAGGCGGCCCCCUGGACAAAGACUGACGCUCAGGUGCGAAAGCGUGGGGAGCAAACAGGAUUAGAUACCCUGGUAGUCCACGCCGUAAACGAUGUCGAUUUGGAGGUUGUGCCCUUGAGGCGUGGCUUCCGGAGCUAACGCGUUAAAUCGACCGCCUGGGGAGUACGGCCGCAAGGUUAAAACUCAAAUGAAUUGACGGGGGCCCGCACAAGCGGUGGAGCAUGUGGUUUAAUUCGAUGCAACGCGAAGAACCUUACCUGGUCUUGACAUCCACAGAACUUUCCAGAGAUGGAUUGGUGCCUUCGGGAACUGUGAGACAGGUGCUGCAUGGCUGUCGUCAGCUCGUGUUGUGAAAUGUUGGGUUAAGUCCCGCAACGAGCGCAACCCUUAUCCUUUGUUGCCAGCGGUCCGGCCGGGAACUCAAAGGAGACUGCCAGUGAUAAACUGGAGGAAGGUGGGGAUGACGUCAAGUCAUCAUGGCCCUUACGACCAGGGCUACACACGUGCUACAAUGGCAUAUACAAAGAGAAGCGACCUCGCGAGAGCAAGCGGACCUCAUAAAGUAUGUCGUAGUCCGGAUUGGAGUCUGCAACUCGACUCCAUGAAGUCGGAAUCGCUAGUAAUCGUAGAUCAGAAUGCUACGGUGAAUACGUUCCCGGGCCUUGUACACACCGCCCGUCACACCAUGGGAGUGGGUUGCAAAAGAAGUAGGUAGCUUAACCUUCGGGAGGGCGCUUACCACUUUGUGAUUCAUGACUGGGGUGAAGUCGUAACAAGGUAACCGUAGGGGAACCUGCGGUUGGAUCACCUCCUUACCUUAAAGAA